GAUGAACGCUGGCGGCGUGCCUAAUACAUGCAAGUCGAGCGAACGGACGAGAAGCUUGCUUCUCUGAUGUUAGCGGCGGACGGGUGAGUAACACGUGGAUAACCUACCUAUAAGACUGGGAUAACUUCGGGAAACCGGAGCUAAUACCGGAUAAUAUUUUGAACCGCAUGGUUCAAAAGUGAAAGACGGUCUUGCUGUCACUUAUAGAUGGAUCCGCGCUGCAUUAGCUAGUUGGUAAGGUAACGGCUUACCAAGGCAACGAUGCAUAGCCGACCUGAGAGGGUGAUCGGCCACACUGGAACUGAGACACGGUCCAGACUCCUACGGGAGGCAGCAGUAGGGAAUCUUCCGCAAUGGGCGAAAGCCUGACGGAGCAACGCCGCGUGAGUGAUGAAGGUCUUCGGAUCGUAAAACUCUGUUAUUAGGGAAGAACAUAUGUGUAAGUAACUGUGCACAUCUUGACGGUACCUAAUCAGAAAGCAACGGCUAAUUACGUG
rnacentral:rRNA from 1 species